UUCAUUUCUAUCAUAGGUAGGUACGUAUCAGAUCAACAUUAAAACGUGUAAGGUGGAAAUUUUAAGUGUCAACAAGUCGCUCUAAAGAGAAUACGAAGGUUUGGAGUGCGAAUUGGACAGUAUUAGAGUGGUUCUGCAGAUAAUAUAAGUUAG